UACGUAGGGUGCGAGCGUUGUCCGGAAUUAUUGGGCGUAAAGAGCUCGUAGGCGGUGUGUCGCGUCGGCCGUGAAAACCUGCAGCUUAACUGUGAGCGUGCUUCCGAUACGGGCAGACUUGAGGUAUUCAGGGGAGAACGGAAUUCCUGGUGUAGCGGUGAAAUGCGCAGAUAUCAGGAGGAACACCGGUGGCGAAGGCGGUUCUCUGGGAAUAUCCUGACGCUGAGGCACGAAGGCCAGGGGAGCAAACGGG
rnacentral:rRNA from 1 species